UACGUAGGGGGCAAGCGUUGUCCGGAUUUAUUGGGCGUGAAGAGCGUGUAGGCGGUUAGGUAGGUCCGUUGUGAAAACUCGAGGCUCAACCUCGAGACGCCGAUGGAAACCAUCUAACUAGAGUCCGGAAGAGGAGAGUGGAAUUCCUGGUGUAGCGGUGAAAUGCGCAGAUAUCAGGAAGAACACCCGUGGCUAAGGCGGCUCUCUAGUACGGUACUGACGCUGAGACGCGAAAGCGUGGGGAGCGAACAGG
rnacentral:rRNA from 1 species